UGAAUACAUAGGUUAACGAGGCGAACCGGGGGAACUGAAACAUCUAAGUACCCCGAGGAAAAGAAAUCAACCGAGAUUCCCCCAGUAGCGGCGAGCGAACGGGGAGCAGCCCAGAGGCUGAAUCAGCUUGUGUGUUAGUGGAACGGUCUGGAAAGUCCGACGGGACAGGGUGAUAGUCCCGUACACCAAAAUGCACAGGUUGUGAACUCGAAGAGUAGGGCGGGACACGUGGUAUCCUGUCUGAAUAUGGGGGGACCAUCCUCCAAGGCUAAAUACUCCUGACUGACCGAUAGUGAACCAGUACCGUGAGGGAAAGGCGAAAAGAACCCCGGCGAGGGGAGUGAAAAAGAACCUGAAACCGUGUACGUACAAGCAGUGGGAGCACCUUCGGGUGUGACUGCGUACCUUUUGUAUAAUGGGUCAGCGACUUAUAUUCUGUAGCAAGGUUAACCGUAUAGGGGAGCCGCAGGGAAACCGAGUCUUAACUGGGCGUUAAGUUGCAGGGUAUAGACCCGAAACCCGGUGAUCUAGCCAUGGGCAGGUUGAAGGUUGGGUAACACUAACUGGAGGACCGAACCGACUAAUGUUGAAAAA
rnacentral:rRNA from 1 species